rnacentral:rRNA from 1 species
GCUUACGGCCAUACCACCCUGAGAACGCCCGAUCUCGUCUGCUCUCGGAAGCUAAGCAGGGUCGGGCCUGGUUAGCACUUGGAUGGGAGACCGCCUGGGAAUACCAGGUGCUGUAAGCU